CCCUUAGAUGUUCGGGGCCGCACGCGCGCUACACUGAUGGGGUCAGCGUGUUUGCACGUCCUGGUCCGGCAGGAUUGGGCAAUCCGUUGAACCUCCGUCGUGAUUGGGAUCGGAGCUUGUAAUUAUUCUCCGUGAACGAGGAAUUCCCAGUAAGCGCAAGUCAUCAGCUUGCGUUGAUUACGUCCCUGCCCUUUGUACACACCGCCCGUCGCUACUACCGAUUGGAUGGUCCGGUGAAGCCUCGGGAUUGUGGUUCUUGCCGCUUUAUUGUGGCGUGACCGCGAGAACUUGUCUAAACCUUAUCAUCUAGAGGAAGGUGAAGUCGUAACA
rnacentral:rRNA from 1 species